rnacentral:tRNA from 2 species
CGCGGGAUAGAGGAGUCUGGUCGUCCUCGCCAGUUUCAUAUGCUGGAGAUCGUAGGUUCAAAUCCUACUCCCGUUACCA